GGAGCAUGAGCCUGGGUGUGUGCAAACAAGCAUCACUCAUCCAUGAUUUCUGCUUCAAGUUCCUGUCUAGACCUCCUCAAUGAUGGACCAUAACCUGGAAGUGUCAGCCAGCAGACCCUUUUCUCCCCACGUUGCUUUUGAUCACAGACUUUUGUCACAGCACAGAAUGAUACUAGGACUUCCACAGUGUGAGUGCUGGGGAUUGACUCAAGCUGUCAGGUUUGGUGGUAAGUGCCUUUACCUGCCACCCUCCACAGCUGCCUGAUCUUGGUGUCCUAUGCCCUUCCCCUCUGUUCUCUUUAUAAAUAUUACUCAUUCAUUGCUCUUAUCAAACACCCACAUGUGUUUGCUUCAAGGUCUCUUUCUUCAUUGCUCCAUCUAUUUAAUUUUAUCUGGAAUUAGUUCAUUUUAUGAUUGUUGAUUUGGUUGCCAUCAAACGCAAUCUCUCCCCUUCUCUCCCUCUCUUCUUUUACCCCCGAUCCCUCCCCACUUCUUCCCAGAACCUAGCAUGUCCUAUUUGAGGCCCGGUCUUCAGUGAAGAACAUGAUUUUACUUGGAGGUUCCAAGUCUCAGAGACUCCCCCUCCCACGAUCAACAUCCAUCCAGAAGGAAGGACUCAGAACUCGGCAGGCCAUGUCUGUGUUUCCUCCUGUGCUCACAGCAGACACCGAAUCAGAUGGAUCUUCACUGCAGCUCCUGUACCUGAACCAAGCCCAAGUGUUUUCCUAUUCCUCUCUCUCUCUCCCUCUCUCCUUCCCUCCCUCCCUUCCUUUCUUUAUUUUUCUUCCUUCCUUUCUUUAGUUUGAGUUUUUAUUUAAAUUAAUCUAUUUACUUUACACCCCAGUCUCAGCUUCCUCUCUUUUCUCUCCUCAGAAAAGGGGAGGCCUCCCAUGGAUAUCAAUCUGCCUUAGCACAUCAAGUUGCAGUAGGACUAGGUGCAGCUUCUCCUGUUGUGGCUAGGCAAGGUAGCUCAGUUAGGGGAAAGGGAUCUGAAGGCAGGCAACAGAGCCAGAGACAGCCCCUGUACUACUGAGUUCUUAGGAGCCACACAUGAAGACUGAGAUACACAACUGUUACCAUGCCUGCUGUUUGGUGGUUGAGCCUCUGUGAGCCCCUAUGGGCCUGGGUUAGUUGAUUCUGUAGGUUUUCUUGUGGUCUCCUUGACCUCUCUUGCUUUUUCAAUCUUUCUUCCCCAUUGUAUUAGUUAGGGUUUUACUGC
rnacentral:lncRNA from 1 species